ACACGUACUGUGCGAACGUUAUUCGGAAUCACUGGGCUUAAAGGGUACGUAGGCGGCCUAUCAAGUCAGGUGUGAAAUCCCACGGCUCAACCGUGGAACUGCGCUUGAAACUGAUAGGCUUGAGAGAGACAGGGGUGUGUGGAACUUCUCGUGGAGCGGUGAAAUGUGUUGAUAUGAGAAGGAACACCGGUGGCGAAGGCGACACACUGGGUCUUUUCUGACGCUGAGGUACGAAAGCUAGGGGAGCGAACGGGAUUAGAAACCCUAGUAGUCC
rnacentral:rRNA from 1 species